AAUGCAUUAAGAUGGCAUAACAUUUGGCCCACCUGUCCUUGUGCAUAAUGGACAAUCUUAUGUGUUGUACUAUUGGCCAUGUGACCUCUGAUACUGAAUAAAUUCUUUGUUCUUGUUCUAUUUUCAUUGUCCUUUAAUAUGUAAGUUUUGAAGAAAUCAGUUUUACAAUGGUAUGCAUUUAACAUAUGGUAUAGAAUGAUAUGAAUGUUAUUUCCUCAGGAAACAAAAAGAAUUUUGCUUAAUCGUUGUGAUAGUCACACAGUACAUAACAUUGUUGUUCGUUAUAACAAUGAAAUACUACACAAAAGAGUUUUUGUUUUGGAACCUGCAUCGUAGCUAUGAUCAAUGAGGAAGUUAAUGGUCAUGAUAGUCAUGGUAUAUCAGAAACUUCGGACCUGUGCUGCAGUCUAAGAGCUCAAUACUUCUAACAUCUCCUAUAACCUAUUAAGAUUGUUAGAUAGGUUAGGAAAUGGAAAACUUUACAUAUCAUAACUACCCUACCCAUCUUUAGUUACAACUGCACACCUCUAAAUACAUGUAUAUUAUUCAUGAUUUUUCUUCAAUGCUUUUUGUUGAGAAAAGAAAAUCAUAAAAACCCAUAUUUAACAUACAAUCGAAUUCAUUUUAUCAAAGUUACUAACCAAAAUCAGUCUAUCAACCAAAACUUUUCAAGGUAAGAGGUUACUCCACAUUCCUUCUUAAAUUUACUUGUUCCAUAGUGGACAUAUUUAUUAAAAUUCAUAUUUAAUACCUUAAUGCGUCACAUUUUAACUUUUCAACAUAUUUUAUACAAGAGUUAAAACCAAGACACAUUAUUUGUUUACAUGCAUUGCGAAAAUUAAGAAAUUACCUAAUCAUAUAAAUUCCCAUAAGAAUUCUUUCACAGAUUUACACAUUAUUUCACAAAAUAUUAUAUAUUUCCUUAUCAGACAACCACCUUGCUCAAAUAUACAGUAGGCUUUCACACCUUUCAUAUAGAGUCAGUUCCUCCUUGGAAUUCUAUCUAUAUGUGAAAUUGAAUCUACUAUAAGGCCAGACCAAUUUUAUUUCUUGUUUAGCAGAUUUUUGUCACCAGAAAACAUAAAGGCAGGAGGGAAUUAUUUUUUUUAAAAAAAGUCACCAGUCAAAGCAAAAACCCACAUGAGUUUUUCAAAGGCAUUGAUUUUCAAGGUCACACUCGCUGAGGUGCUUGAAGCACUGAUUUGUAACACAAAUAUUGUUAGAUAAUUCAGUUUAAAGUCUCUAAAACAGAUACCUGUGUUUUAGUGUCCACAAACUGCCUUGAAUAGUCGAAGUCUCGCUGAGUAUUUCUAAACAUUAGGAUUUUAUUUUGCAAGCGGGGACAUUUU